rnacentral:lncRNA from 1 species
UUUCAACAUGUAUAAUUGAGGUUCAUAAUAAUUCUCUGAGGCUCACUUGUUUAAAAAGCACAUUAAACUCAAUAAGAAGAGAUACUAAAGGAAAAUAAGUCUGUUUAUUAAAAAUAGAGACAUACGAAUGGAAUCAAGUUUGAAAAAUAGAAAAGAUAUUGCAGUUUCAAUGAACAAGAUGACGUUGGAUGGCUGUGCUGAGUAUGUGAACCAGCGCGGGACAGGAUUAUUGUAGCUCUUCUGAACAAUUCAGAAAACAAGCUGGCAGACAUUCGUUAACUUGAAGUGUUUAUUGUGUUCAAAAAUUAGAAGAGAAGGAAGGAAGAAGAGAGGGGGGAGAAGAAGGGAGGAAAGAAGAAAUCCUAGUCAGUCUCUUGACUCAACCGUCUCCUCUGUCCACUUCCAUACCGAAAUGCUUGCUUCAAUCUUCUGAAAUGUUCUGGUGGCUAUCAUCUACUGACCACCCCUGGAGCAUGGACACUCCCCGGACUGCUCGUUAGGAUCUCUGUGUGCAUUUUGUUUACAAUGGCCUGAAAAGAACUUGGGUCUAGAUGCUAAGACAAUAAGGAAUCUCAUUGGAUAAAGCAGAAAGCUUUGAAUCCAUUACAGAAGUACCUGCACUCUAUAAUUAUAUUUUAUAAGGAAGGUCAGUAUUCUAAAUUAGAUUCAUUAACUGUCAUAAAAUAUAUAACAUUUCUGGUAAUUUAAAACUGUU